AACGCGAAGAACCUUACCAGGUCUUGACAUCCCCUGACCUCCUUAGAGAUAGGGCUUUCCCCUUCGGGGGACAGAGUGACAGGUGGUGCAUGGUUGUCGUCAGCUCGUGUCGUGAGAUGUUGGGUUAAGUCCCGCAACGAGCGCAACCCUUGAUCUUAGUUGCCAGCAUUCAGUUGGGCACUCUAAGGUGACUGCCGGUGACAAACCGGAGGAAGGUGGGGAUGACGUCAAACCAUCAUGCCCCUUAUGACCUGGGCUACACACGUGCUACAAUGGAUGGUACAAAGGGCAGCAAAGCCGCGAGGUCGAGCUAAUCCCAUAAAACCAUUCUCAGUUCGGAUUGUAGGCUGCAACUCGCCUACAUGAAGCCGGAAUCGCUAGUAAUCGCGGAUCAGCAUGCCGCGGUGAAUACGUUCCCGGGUCUUGUACACACGC
rnacentral:rRNA from 1 species